CCUACGGGAGGCAGCAGUGGGGAAUAUUGCACAAUGGGCGCAAGCCUGAUGCAGCCAUGCCGCGUGUGUGAAGAAGGCCUUCGGGUUGUAAAGCACUUUCAGCGGGGAGGAAGGCGUUAAGGUUAAUAACCUUGGCGAUUGACGUUACCCGCAGAAGAAGCACCGGCUAACUCCGUGCCAGCAGCCGCGGUAAUACGGAGGGUGCAAGCAUUAAUCGGAAUUACUGGGCGUAAAGCGCACGCAGGCGGUCUGUCAAGUCGGAUGUGAAAUCCCCGGGCUCAACCUGGGAACUGCAUUCGAAACUGGCAGGCUAGAGUCUUGUAGAGGGGGGUAGAAUUCCAGGUGUAGCGGUGAAAUGCGUAGAGAUCUGGAGGAAUACCGGUGGCGAAGGCGGCCCCCUGGACAAAGACUGACGCUCAGGUGCGAAAGCGUGGGGAGCAAACAGGAUUAGAUACCCCUGUAGUC
rnacentral:rRNA from 1 species